rnacentral:lncRNA from 1 species
AAGAACAGCAUCCUAGACGAAAAUGUGAGAAUUCGAAGACAAGGAUCCACUGAUGUCCAUAAACUAGAAGGACGCAAACAUGGAAUAGAAUUUAUCAGACGUGGAAACCUAACUUGCUGCAACAAAGUUUGACUCCAGCGUUUGGAAGGUCUUGAUCAUACGAAAAGGGCUCCUGCAUUGUUAAUAAAAUUAGUUUGUUAAGCAUGAAAAAUGAAUACAAUAAAAUUAGUAGUUAUGGAAGAUGUUCGACAAUAAUACCUUAUUAUAUAUUUCGUGCCAUUGUUUAUUCAAUUCUCGACUUCUUACGGCUACGAGCUGAUCCCUCCUCCAUUCGAGGUUUUGAUUCUCUGUUAUUGCAAUCAUUUGUGUUAUGAGAAAUGUUGAGAGAUUUUUUUGAUAAUAAUAAGAGGAGAUGAAAAGAGUCCUCAC